rnacentral:misc_RNA from 1 species
GCGCCCCUAUUAAUGGCUAAUACUUAACACUAAAAAUUUCAUUUUUCUAAUCGAACCAUAUGAUAAUUACCCGUUACUUGAACUUAUCCCGCAUCCACUGACAGUAUGUCUAGUAUUUCACUGCAAACUAAAAACCAAACAACAAAAAAGCAGCUCAAGAGCUGCUUUUCAUAUUCAUAUCAGU